UGGGGAAUUUUGGACAAUGGGGGAAACCCUGAUCCAGCCAUCCCGCGUGUGCGAUGAAGGCCUUCGGGUUGUAAAGCACUUUUGGCAGGAAAGAAACGUCGCGGGUUAAUACCCCGCNAAACUGACGGUACCUGCAGAAUAAGCACCGGCUAACUACGUGCCAGCAGCCGCGGUAAUACGUAGGGUGCAAGCGUUAAUCAGAAUUACUGGGCGUAAAGCGUGCGCAGGCGGUUCGGAAAAGAAAGAUGUGAAAUCCCCAGAGCUUAACUUUGGAACUGCAUUUUUAAACUACCGGGCUAGAGUGUGUCAGAGGGAGUGGAAUCCGCGUGUAGCAGUGAAAUGCGUAGAUAUGCGGAGGAACACCGAUGGCGAAGGCAGCCUCCUGGGAUAACACUGACGCUCAUGCACGAAAGCGUGGGGAGCAAACAGGA
rnacentral:rRNA from 1 species